CCUACGGGAGGCAGCAGUGAGGAAUAUUGGUCAAUGGCCGUAAGGCUGAACCAGCCAAGUCGCGUGAAGGAAGAAGGAUCUAUGGUUUGUAAACUUCUUUUAUAGGGGAAUAAAGGUAUCCACGUGUGGAUAUUUGCAUGUACCCUAUGAAUAAGCAUCGGCUAAAUCCGUGCCAGCAGCCGCGGUAAUACGGAGGAUGCGAGCGUUAUCCGGAUUUAUUGGGUUUAAAGGGUGCGUAGGCUGUUUUUUAAGUCAGCGGUGAAAGGUUGUGGCUCAACCAUAACAUUGCCGUUGAAACUGGAAGCCGUGAGUGGGUGUGAGGUAGGCGGAAUGCGUGGUGUAGCGGUGUAAUGCAUAGAUAUCACGCAGAACUCCGAUUGCGAAGGCAGCUUACUAAGCCAUAACUGACACUGAAGCACGAAAGCGUGGGGAUCGAACAGGAUUAGAUACCCGGGUAGUC
rnacentral:rRNA from 1 species